rnacentral:rRNA from 1 species
CCUACGGGAGGCAGCAGUGAGGAAUCUUGGUCAAUGGGCGCAAGCCUGAACCAGCCAAGUCGCGUGAGGGAUGACGGUCCUAUGGAUUGUAAACCUCUUUUGUCGGGGAGCAAGGCCCGCCACGUGUGGCGGGAAGGAGAGUACCCGAAGAAAAAGCAUCGGCUAACUCCUUGCCAGCAGCAGCGGUAAUACGGGGGAUGCGAGCGGUAUCCGGAUUUAUUGGGUUUAAAGGGUGCGUAGGCGGAAGGUUAAGUCAGCGGUAAAAUGUCGGUGUUCAACAACGGCCUGCCGUUGAAACUGGUCGUCUUGAGUGAGCGAGAAGUAUGCGGAAUGCGUGGUGUAGCGGUGAAAUGCAUAGAUAUCACGCAGAACUCCGAUUGCGAAGGCAGCAUACCGGCGCUCAACUGACGCUGAGGCACGAAAGCGUGGGGAUCGAACAGGAUUAGAUACCCUAGUAGUC